rnacentral:rRNA from 1 species
GACGAACGCUGGCGGCGUGCUUAACACAUGCAAGUCGAACGGAAAGGCCCUGCUUUUGUGGGGUGCUCGAGUGGCGAACGGGUGAGUAACACGUGAGUAACCUGCCCUUGACUUUGGGAUAACUUCAGGAAACUGGGGCUAAUACCGGAUAGGAGCUCCUGCUGCAUGGUGGGGGUUGGAAAGUUUCGGCGGGUGGGGAUGGACUCGCGGCUUAUCAGCUUGUUGGUGGGGUAGUGGCUUACCAAGGCUUUGACGGGUAGCCGGCCUGAGAGGGUGACCGGCCACAUUGGGACUGAGAUACGGCCCAGACUCCUACGGGAGGCAGCAGUGGGGAAUAUUGCACAAUGGGCGGAAGCCUAAUGCAGCAACGCCGCGUGCGGGAUGACGGCCUUCGGGUUGUAAACCGCUUUCGCCUGUGACGAAGCGUGAGUGACGGUAAUGGGUAAAGAAGCACCGGCUAACUACGUG